UCCCAAACUCUGAAAAACAACUCUGACUUCGCCAAAGGCGAUCAUCAAACCAACCCACCCUGAAUAGGCCGUGCGGAAUCACAUGAAGAUCCACAUCGGACCUCAGCCACUACAACAAGAAAGCACAGCUCUAACACCAACAGAGAGCUACGAAUGAACCAAGCAGCUGUGAAGUCGAAGCUACAGUGGCAGGGCCCGGUGGCAUAUGCUGACGAGUAGGUGGUCCGUUCGGUGAUCUUCCUCAACACGUAGUAUGACUUCAGUGCACACGACACAGUAUAUGCCCCCCUGGAGACCGACAACAGAACAACAGUUCCACAAGCAUGAGCACACUUGAAUUCAGGUGAGAGUGUGACUACUCCCAUUCCUGUCACGUAGAAAGAAGAAAACUCCCGUUUCGUACAGAAAUUCCAUGAGAAGCAAAAUGGCGCCACGUCGUAUUAUUUGUAUUCUUCGUUCUACGAAUCAGCAAAACCAGAUCACGACUCGGACACGAUUCACAUGGAGCACCUAUCUCACGCUUUUUCGACGCGGUAGCCAGGCUGCCUCUCUUCCUCAUCACUUAUUUAAGACGCCCAUCUGGGUUAAAAAGUCGUGACCGAACAAUGACCGGCGGUAUGUAAGGCCUUCCACAGCGUAGCCGGUGCCAAAUACAUCAAAAGGCAGCCACCUCAUCACCGGUGCCCAAAAUUGCUUUUCAGGCAUCGAUCUCACAACGUAGGGCUUCGGCAGGAAAAAGAUUUUGGGACCCAUAUGAUAAACAAGUACACCACGCUGCUGUGUAUUGAGCAAAGAGAGAGAAGACAUUUGCUGUUCAAAGUUGAGAGUUAAUAGUAUUUUAUUGGCUGGAGGAAUUGGGCAUCGUGUUCUUACUUGCUCCGAUGCCAUGAAAAUUUUGUUGGGGCACCGGCCUCACAACGUGAGGGCACCGGCUAUCGGUGCCAGAAGUUAAUUUGGCACCUCUUUUGGCCUACAUAAUGGAAGGUCUAAGAGGUGGGUUUGAGAGAUCGGUAGUAGAUGCUCUUAAUAAGCUAGUACUAGAAGAAGAACAUGUAUAGGGGAGGAAGGGGACAUAAGUGAAUCCCGAACGGAAGCACGUACCUGCGGGUGAUGGCCGAGUCGAGAAGCACGGUCGACGUUCGUGAUCGAGUUGGCGCCGUGCCGGAGCUAAUUCAAGGGAAUGCCGCCGCCUUCCAACCGGAGACGAGACUGUAUUAUGUGGCUGACAACCUGCGCAGCUUUCAAACAUGGUGGCUCCUUUUGGAAAAGGCUCGGAGUGGAGACCCCAACCGUGUCACUCGUGUCAUACAUAUGCACCUUACAAAGGGCUGCGAGCUUUACUACACAGAUGUGUUGGGUGUACAUUUGGUUUUAACAAAUUUGAGACCUUAUCUUUUUUUUUGUUGGGUUUGCUGCUUUUAUGUCAUUUUAAAUACAUAUGUGUAUGCUGUCAAUACACUAUAGAUUAACAUACACUAGUGUCAAAAACGCUUUUAUAUUAUAAAACGGAGGGAGUAGUCUGAUUUUCUCAACACGUAAAUUUUUUUUUAAAUGGAGGCAAAAGAUUUGGCUCAUUCAUUAAUUAAGCAGAAAAGAACUGCCCAGUUAAUUAAUGAAAAACCAGGCGAAAAUCAUCACAAACUACUGAGUGACACCAAUGAAAGACCUACACGCGCCACUCACAAGAGGGCCUCGUCAAGACUGCACGUCGACAUCAUCGCCAUCACUUCUCCCCUAGAGGCAUCAUUGCCAUCCCAAACUAUGAGAAACGACUCCAACUUCACCUCAAGAGGGCCUCGUCAAGACCGCACCUCGAGCGUCAUCACCAUCACUUCUCCCCUAGAGGUGUCAUCGCCAUCCCAAACUCUGAAAAACAACUCUGACUUCGCCAAAGGCGAUCAUCAAACCAACCCACCCUGAAUAGGCCGUGCGGAAUCACAUGAAGAUCCACAUCGGACCUCAGCCACAACAACAAGAAAGCACAGCUCUAACACCAACAGAGAGCUACGAAUAAACCAAGCAGCUGUGAAGUCGAAGCUACAGUGGCAGGGCCUGGUGGCAUAUGCUGACGAGUAGGUGGUCCGUUCGGUGAUCUUCCUCAACACGUAGUAUGACUUCAGUGCACAUGACACAGUAUAUGCCCCCCUGGAGACCGACAACUGAACAACAGUUCCACAAGCAUGAGCACACUUGAAUUCAGGUGAGAGUGUGACCACUCCCAUUCCUGUCACGUAGAAAGAAGAAAACUCCCGUUUCGUACAGAAAUUCCAUGAGAAGCAAACUGGCGCCACGUCGUAUUAUUUGUAUUCUUCGUUCUACGAAUCAACAAAACCAGAUCACGACUCGGACACGAUUCACAUGGAGCACCUAUCUCACGCUUUUUCGACGUGGUAGCCAGGUUGCCUCUCUUCCUCAUCACUUAUUUAAGACGCCCGUCUGGGUUAAAAAAUCGUGACCGAACAAUGACCGGCGGUAUGUAAGGCCUUCCACAGCGUAGCCGGUGCCAAAUACAUCAAAAGGCAGCCACCUCAUCACCGGUGCCCAAAAUUGCUUUUCAGGCAUCGAUCUCACAACGUAGGGCUUCGGCAGGAAAAAGAUUUUGGGACCCAUAUGAUAAACAAGUACACCACGCUGCUGUGUAUUGAGCAAAGAGAGAAGACAUUUGCUGUUCAAAGUUGAGAGUUAAUAGUAUUUUAUUGGCUGGAGGAAUUGGGCAUCGUGUUCUUACUUGCUCCGAUGCCAUGAAAAUUUUGUUGGGGCACCGGCCUCACAACAUGAGGGCACCGGCUAUCGGAGCCAGAAGUUAAUUUGGCACCUCUUUUGGCCUACAUAAUGGAAGGUCUAAGAGGUGGGUUUGAGAGAUCGGUUGUAGAUGCUCUUAAUAAGCUAGUACUAGAAGAAGAACAUGUAUAGGGGAGGAAGGGGACAUAAGUGAAUCCCGAACGGAAGCACGUACCUGCGGGUGAUGGCCGAGUCGAGAAACACGGUCGACGUUCGUGAUCGAGUUGGCGCCGUGCCGGAGCUAAUUCAAGGGAAUGCCGCCGCCUUCCAACCGGAGACGAGACUGUAUUAUGUGGCUGACAACCUGCGUAGCUUUCAAACAUGGUGGCUCCUUUUGGAAAAGGCUCGGAGUGGAGACCCCAACCGUGUCACUCGUGUCAUACAUAUGCACCUUACAAAGGGCUGCAAGCUUUACUACACAGAUGUGUUGGGUGUACAUUUGGUUUUAACAAAUUUGAGACCUUAUCUUUUUUUGUUGGGUUUGCAGCUUUUAUGUCAUUUUAAAUACAUAUGUGUAUGCUGUCAAUACACUAUAGAUUAACAUACACUAGUGUCAAAAACGCUUUUAUAUUAUAAAACGGAGGGAGUAGUCUGAUUUUCUCAACACGUAAUUUUUUUUAAACGGAGGCAAAAGAUUUGGCUCAUUCAUUAAUUAAGCAGAAAAGAACUGCCCAGUUAAUUAAUGAAAAACCAGGCGAAAAUCAUCACAAACUACUGAGUGACACCAAUGAAAGACCUACACGCGCCACUCACAAGAGGGCCUCGUCAAGACUGCACGUCGACAUCAUCGCCAUCACUUCUCCCCUAGAGGCAUCAUUGCCAUCUCAAACUAUGAGAAACGACUCCAACUUCACCUCAAGAGGGCCUCGUCAAGACCGCACCUCGAGCGUCAUCACCAUCACUUCUCCCCUAGAGGUGUCAUCGCCAUCCCAAACUCUGAAAAACAACUCUGACUUCGCCAAAGGCGAUCAUCAAACCAACCCACCCUGAAUAGGCCGUGCGGAAUCACAUGAAGAUCCACAUCGGACCUCAGCCACUACAACAAGAAAGCACAGCUCUAACACCAACAGAGAGCUACGAAUGAACCAAGCAGCUGUGAAGUCGAAGCUACAGUGGCAGGGCCCGGUGGCAUAUGCUGACGAGUAGGUGGUCCGUUCGGUGAUCUUCCUCAACACGUAGUAUGACUUCAGUGCACACGACACAGUAUAUGCCCCCAUGGAGACCGACAACAGAACAACAGUUCCACAAGCAUGAGCACACUUGAAUUCAGGUGAGAGUGUGACCACUCCCAUUCCUGUCACGUAGAAAGAAGAAAACUCCCGUUUCGUACAGAAAUUCCAUGAGAAGCAAAAUGGCGUCACGUCGUAUUAUUUGUAUUCUUCGUUCUACGAAUCAGCAAAACCAGAUCACGACUCGGACACGAUUCACAUGGAGCACCUAUCUCACGCUUUUUCGACGCUGUAGCCAGGCUGCCUCUCUUCCUCAUCACUUAU
rnacentral:lncRNA from 1 species